rnacentral:rRNA from 1 species
CCUACGGGAGGCAGCAGUGAGGAAUAUUGGUCAAUGGGCGGGAGCCUGAACCAGCCAAGUCGCGUGAGGGAAGACGGUCCUAUGGAUUGUAAACCUCUUUAGGCGGGGAGCAAUGCCGGGCACGCGUGCCCGGAGGGAGAGUACCCGCAGAAUAAGCAUCGGCUAACUCCGUGCCAGCAGCCGCGGUAAUACGGAGGAUGCGAGCGUGAUCCGGAUUGAUUGGGUUUAAAGGGUGAGUAGGCGGAUUUUUAAGUCAGCGGUAAAAUGUCCGGGCUCAACCCGGGCCGGCCGUUGAAACUGGGGAUCUUGAGUGGGCGAGAAGUAUGCGGAAUGCGUGGUGUAGCGGUGAAAUGCAUAGAUAUCACGCAGAACUCCGAUUGCGAAGGCAGCAUACCGGCGCCCGACUGACGCUGAGGCACGAAAGCGUGGGGAUCGAACAGGAUUAGAUACCCGGGUAGUC